rnacentral:misc_RNA from 1 species
GAAAUGAUGCUUUUAUGAGAUAGAGCUUUUUUAGAUAAUGCUUUUUUAGAUAAUGCUGGGGAAGGUUUUCCGGUUUAUCUCGGAGGGCUUGUAGCUCAGUUGGUUAGAGCGCGCGCUUGAUAAGCGUGAGGUCGGAGGUUCAAGUCCUCCCAGGCCCACCAAUUUACCUAUCCAUUUGCUUUUAUCCGUUUAUUUGCCGAUUUAUCGGUCCAUUGAAUUUAAGUGUUGGUAGCGGUUUUUAUAAUGAUGAGAAAUCAUGCUUAUAAAAGAACUCCUUAUAAAAGGCUUGUUUUUAAAAUGUGACGCUUAUCCAUUUCGCUUAGGCAAGAGAAACUUCAAGCGGUUCAAAUGCAAAAGGCUUUAAAUUUUGCAAAACAAUUUGAAUUUUGCAAAACAAUUUGAAUUUUAAAGUGAUCCAAGUUCGUGAUCUCGAAUUUAAAAGUUUCGAAUGCUUUAUCCUUUUUUGGGGGCCGUAGCUCAGCUGGGAGAGCACCUGCUUUGCAAGCA